GUGGGGAAUAUUCCGCAAUGGACGAAAGUCUGACGGAGCAACGCCGCGUGAGUGAUGAAGGUUUUCGGACUGUAAAGCUCUGUUGUUUAGGACGAAAGUGCCUGUUGCAAAUAGUUACAGGUAUUGACGGUACUGAACGAGGAAGCCACGGCUAACUACGUGCCAGCAGCCGCGGUAAUACGUAGGUGGCAAGCGUUGUCCGGAAUUAUUGGGCGUAAAGAGCAUGUAGGCGGGAAUCUAAGUCUGUUGUGAAAAUGCGGGGCUCAACCCCGUAUUGCGAUGGAAACUGGGUUUCUUGAGUGCAGGAGAGGAAAGGGGAAUUCCCAGUGUAGCGGUGAAAUGCGUAGAUAUUGGGAGAAACACCAGUGGCGAAGGCGGCUUCCUGGCACAAUACUGACGCUCAUGUGCGAAAGCUAGGGCAGCGAACGGGAUUAGAUACCCUGGUAGUCC
rnacentral:rRNA from 1 species